AAUGACGCUGGCGGCAGGCUAACACUGCCCGUGCAAACGGUAACAGGAUGUGCUUGCACAUCGCUGACGAGUGGCGGACGGGUGAGUAAUGCUUAGGGAUCUGCCUCUGUGUGGGGGAUAACUAUUGGAAACGAUAGCUAAUACCGCAUAAUGUUUACGGACCAAAGGGGGCGUUUGCUCCCGCGCAGAGAGGAACCUAAGUGAGAUUAGCUAGUUGGUAAGGUAAUGGCUUACCAAGGCGACGAUCUCUAGCUGUUCUGAGAGGAAGAUCAGCCACACUGGGACUGAGACACGGCCCAGACUCCUACGGGAUGGCAGCAGUGGGGAAUAUUGCACAAUGGGUGGGAACCCUGAUGCAGUCCAUGCCGCGUGUGUGACGCAACGGCCUUCGGGUUGUCACAGCCCUUUCCCGUUGUGAGCGAAAGGUUACGUA
rnacentral:rRNA from 1 species